rnacentral:rRNA from 1 species
CGUAGGGUGCGAGCGUUAAUCGGAAUUACUGGGCGUAAAGCGUGCGCAGGCGGUUAUGUAAGACAGAGGUGAAAUCCCCGGGCUCAACCUGGGAACUGCCUUUGUGACUGCAUAGCUAGAGUACGGCAGAGGGGGAUGGAAUUCCGCGUGUAGCAGUGAAAUGCGUAGAUAUGCGGAGGAACACCGAUGGCGAAGGCAAUCCCCUGGGCCUGUACUGACGCUCAUGCACGAAAGCGUGGGGAGCAAACAGGAUUAGAUACCCUGGUAGUCCACGCCCUAAACGAUGUCAACUGGUUGUUGGGUCUUCACUGACUCAGUAACGAAGCUAACGCGUGAAGUUGACCGCCGUGGGGAGUACGGCCGCAAGGUUG